UACGUAGGGUGCAAGCGUUAAUCGGAAUUACUGGGCGUAAAGCGUGCGCAGGCGGUUGUGCAAGACAGAUGUGAAAUCCCCGGGCUUAACCUGGGAACUGCAUUUGUGACUGUACGGCUAGAGUGCGGCAGAGGGGGAUGGAAUUCCGCGUGUAGCAGUGAAAUGCGUAGAGAUGCGGAGGAACACCGAUGGCGAAGGCAGCCCCCUGGGUUGACACUGACGCUCAGGCACGAAAGCGUGGGGAGCAAACAGG
rnacentral:rRNA from 1 species